GCCUGAGUGGCUCAAUUGGUAGAGCAUGUGACUCUUGAUCUCAGAGUUGUGAGUUCAAACCCCACAGUGGGUG
rnacentral:tRNA from 1 species